UUAAAGUCAUCCUCAGUUCGGACUGGGGUCUGCAACCCGACCCCACGAAGCUGGAUUCGCUAGUAAUCGCGCAUCAGCCAUGGCGCGGUGAAUACGUUCCCGGGCCUUGUACACACCGCCCGUCAAGCCAUGAAAGCCGGGGGCGCCUGAAGUCCGUGACCGCGAGGGUCGGCCUAGGGUGAAACCGGUGAUUGGGGCUAAGUCGUAACAAGGUACC
rnacentral:rRNA from 1 species